rnacentral:rRNA from 1 species
AGCCUGCCCACUGAGUUUUUAAAGGGCUGCGGUAUUUCUGACCGUGCAAAGGUAGCAUAAUCAAUAGUCUUUUAAUUGGAGGCUGGAAUGAAUGGUUGGACAAAAAGGUAUCUGUCUCAUUUAUUAAAUUUGAAUUUGAUUAUUAUGUGAAAAAGCAUAGAUGUUUUAAAGGGACGAGAAGACCCUAUAAAACUUUAUAUAUAAUUUUUUUUUAGGAGAAAUAAAAUUAAAUUUUAAUUAAAAGUUAGUAUUUAGUUGGGGUGAUUGAGAUAUAAUUAAUUAACUGUCUGUAAUAUUUAAUAAGUAUAAUUAGAUAGUGACCUUAAAUUUUAGGUUAUAAGUUAAAGUUACUUUAGGGAUAACAGCGUAAUAUUUCUUGAGAGUUCAUAUCGAAAGAAGUGUUUGCGACCUCGAUGUUGAAUUAAAAUUUCUUCUAGGGGCAGAGGUUUAG